CUCAAAACUGUGAUCUGAGUCUGCCUCCCAUGUUUCAAUUCUCUUUUGUUCUCCCAAAAUCUUUAUGGGUUCUUCAUAAAGCUUCAGCAGGAGGUGCAUUUUCAACUCCAGUACAGCCUCCUGAAAUUUCAAACCUGCAAAUCAAUUCCAAAUGCUUGGAUCUUGUGAAGUUAAGCAGCCAGUGUUUUGAAGAUUUUUCUAAUUUCAGUCUGAGGAAUCUUAAAACCAGAGGCCCUUAGAGUAUUGACAGCCUGCCAUCAAAGAGAAGUGAUCUUCUUGCCUGUAUUGCCUGUAAAGUUGCCCUUAGACAGUUGUCACCUGCAAAAUGUGCCCUGUGCCAUCAGCAAACUGAGUUCCAGUUGCGCAGGGCCAGGGGGGGUUGAAAUCAUGGAAAAUAUGCUGCAGAGAAAUGUUCCCUAUCACUGGGGGUGAGAGGAGAUGGAGGAGUCUUUCCAGGAGGUGAUCAAGUGAGUCAGUGAGGGUACAAGAAACACUUGGAUACUGGUGAUCAGGUUCUGAGGAGGUUCUUCCAACCUCAAGCUGUCCUUGUCCUGGUUUCUGGCUUGCUAUCCUCAUCAAUGGAGUACACAUGUUAGCAGCAGGUCUCACAGGUAUUUUCUGGCAAGACAGUCAGUGCUAAACCCAGAGUUUGGGGGUUCUCCAUGAUUUGAACAAAAUACAACUGGGCAGUUGGACUCUGCACUCCUGGGCUGCUUCAGUCCAGCUCCUCCUGUCUCCACGUCUGACUUACCUUCUCCCAUCCAUAUCUUUGUCUGGAGGCUCUGCAGCCGUGAUGACAGAGCAACAUCUUUCAAGACCAUUUCAGAGCAGAAUAUCAAAUAUAGCUGCUGUUACAGAGGAUGCAGGACCGAUCUCUGAGACAGAAGUUCACCUGGGAAAUCCAUGGUUACAGAACUUACCACAGGGAAACAGUAACAGGGCAUAUCUGGAUCUCUGUGUUUGUUAGUGAAGAGCUUUCAUGUUCUAAAGUAAGUAAUUACAACAGGGUGAGUGUGUGUUUUUUUGCAUAUAGGGAUAAGGCUUUCUUAAUAGACAAACAGGAGAAGGAUGCACAGCCUAGAGAACUUGGUUCUCUAUCAAUAUCUAUGCCAGACUAUUUUAGUGACUAAUCAGAGACCUGCAUAUUUAAGGCUGGAGAACACACCUCAUUCUGAUGAAAAUGAAACAUGGAUAUUUUUAAUCUGGUUUAUACUGAGUUUAUUUCAAAGAUUAGUUGACUGGGGUUUGUUUCAGGCUCCCUUGAGAUUAUGUAAGCACUUCAAGUUGCAUCCAGAUGUGCUAUACUGUCAUGAAAUCUUCAUAGAGACAAAUAAUGGGUAUUUCUGUUACAUCUUGUGUGCAGGUCACAGGGAGGAAUGAAUGCCUGUUCAACACUGGAACAGACAACAGAACUCAAGAGAUUUUUCCAGUUUACAACUGUCUGUAUUUCUCAGAGGCUUUGAUCUUCACAUAAUGUUUGUUUACUCCUGCAGGCACAUGUAUGUCAUAUCAUAAUGGCUCCUAUCUGUAAAGACAUGUGUCUGUCACUGUCUGAUUUUAUUCCUGAUGAGUGACCACAAGAAGUACUGAGAUAGGUGGAUUGGCAGGACACAUGUGAGCAAACAGCUCAAAGAUGAGGUGAGCUUUGUGUGCCCCGCUUUUCAAUUCUGCUUAGGAAACAGCACCCAGGCUGACCACGAUACCACAUGUGGUGAGACACUGUGGCUUGACUCCAAACAUGAUUUUCCUUGGUGUUUGUUACUAAUAUUGAGGGUUUUUUUCACUGCAGCUGCAGGUCCCAACCUCACCUGGACAUCUCCUGGCAGAUGGCCCCACAAGUCACACCACAGGGAAGAUAUCUGCAUGCAAGGAUGCCACCUUGCAUGUACAGUAAAUGUGCUGGGGGUAAGCAGAGCCCUUACUUUGCAAAGGUCACAGUCAGAGGUUCCUUGCAAGGGCUGAAUUCACCAGCAGUUCCUGAAAAGCAAGACUUGAUUAUUGACUGUGCUUUGCCAAGAAUUACGUAUCAUUAUGUUGAUUCAUGUUGCUAUUCUCUUUGCAGCCCAUGAGGUCCUGAGAGUCACCCUCCCUCUCAGUAAGAGCAGGGGGGAGGCUCACCUGAAUGCCCAGCUGCUGGUCUGCCAUGUCUUAGAAGGGAUCAUUUCCAUUCCACCAGAGUCCUGAGUCCCUGAAGGAGGUGCCAGACCCACAUGCCUGCCUGCAAGGCUCACAGCAGCAUCUUUUAGAUGAGAGAAAGGGAAAGGACAGCUAACACUCCCCCACAUCAGCACAGCGUGUCCCAGAAACCUCUAAAGGAGUUGCUGUUAAUUUUCCCUCCCACAGUCCCCCUGGAUAGUGUGGGCACAAGAGUGUGGAAAAAGCUUUCAAAGCUGUGACUUGCGAUUUCCCCACGGAGGCUCACAUAGGAAGGUUAGGGACAACGGAGGGAAGUGCGCGAGAAGAGACCCUUGCCUGCUCCUUGCAAAUUGCUCUCCCAUGCAGUUAAGUAAGUAUCCCUCUCACGCUCCCCCAGAACAGGGAGGCUAUGACAUUUUAUUUAGUGUAAAGUCACCUGAAGACUUGCCAGCACCUUGCUCCUGCCUCACGUGGCACAUUGCUGCCUCUGGUUGUAGGGCUGUGCUGGGAAUGCAGAGGUGAGGCAUUUAAAUUCAGAAAAUAAACUUCCCAGGGAGAGGUGAGUGAUGCUUUCCCCGGUGAUUUCAGAGUUGGCCUUGCCAUGCACCCCAGGAAGAGUUGCCACGGGAGCGGUGAAGAGACCACAUAGGGAGUGAGAGGCUGGGAUCGGGACAGUACCCGGGCACGGGAAGGGGAUGAGUGGGCAGUGGUGGAAGAGGGACCUCUUCUGGCAGCUUGUCCACUACUGAGAACCUGGACUCUACAAGGAAAAAAGUGUGCAGCAUUUCAGCACACAGCCCUUACUGAUAGAGAAAGAAAGAAGCAGCAUCUCUUUUGGGACGGUCCCUCCCACUAAUGCGCAUUUCAUGUCCAGGCUGUGCCUGCAGUAAGCCCAGCGGGCAGGUAGGGAUGUCUUCUGGCCAAGAAGGGAACCAGUUAUCCUGGUGCAAGUGGCCUGUUUCAUUGCUGCAUGCUCCAAAGAGCUGCUUGCUGUUAAUGGAGAAAAGACAGAGGCAUUUCCUCAC